rnacentral:rRNA from 1 species
AGAACGAACGCUGGCGGCAUGCCUAAUACAUGCAAGUCGAACGAACUCUUCGGAGUUAGUGGCGCACGGGUGCGUAACGCGUGGGAAUCUGCCCCUUGGUUCGGAAUAACAGUUGGAAACGACUGCUAAUACCGGAUGAUGACGAAAGUCCAAAGAUUUAUCGCCAAGGGAUGAGCCCGCGUAGGAUUAGCUAGUUGGUAGAGGUAAAGGCU